rnacentral:rRNA from 1 species
GACGAACGCUGGCGGCGUGCCUAAUACAUGCAAGUUGAGCGCUGAAGGUUGGUACUUGUACCAACUGGAUGAGCAGCGAACGGGUGAGUAACGCGUGGGGAAUCUGCCUUUGAGCGGGGGACAACAUUUGGAAACGAAUGCUAAUACCGCAUAAAAACUUUAAACACAAGUUUUAAGUUUGAAAGAUGCAAUUGCAUCACUCAAAGAUGAUCCCGCGUUGUAUUAGCUAGUUGGUGAGGUAAAGGCUCACCAAGGCGAUGAUACAUAGCCGACCUGAGAGGGUGAUCGGCCACAUUGGGACUGAGAAACGGCCCAAAAUCCUACGGGGGGCAGCAGUAGGGAAUCUUCGGCAAUGGACGAAAGUCUGACCGAGCAACGCCGCGUGAGUGAAGAAGGUUUUCGGAUCGUAAAAAUCUGUUGGUAGAGAAGAACGUUGGUGAGAGUGGAAAGCUCAUCAAGUGACGGUAACUACCCAGAAAGGGACGGCUAACUACGUG